rnacentral:tRNA from 1 species
UCUAUAAGGAAUCGUUUGGGAGAGGUGGUAGAAAUAAAUGAGAGCACCUGUUUAUCAUUAAAAACGAAAGACUGAACUGUUGCAGUUACUUUCUAAAGUCACUUUUUUUUAUAGGAAGAUUUUGGAUAAAUCAUUAUCAAGGAAGCUAAGGACACCUGUGUUGUAUUGAAAGCACACCAGCCAUGAAAUCGGAAGGCCCAAAUUUGAAUUCCAGUUAUUCACAAAUGAAUCUCUACACCCGACAUGGGGCUCGAACUCAUGACCCCGAGAUCAAAAGUUGCAUGCUCUUCUGACUGAGCCAGCCGGGUGCCCCUGAACUAUCUAGAGCCCAGAUUCUGAGGAAGAGUCACAUGGAGAAUCCUACAGAGGACCCUUUCCCCCAACCCCAGCCUGUGCUUAAUUAAGUGAGUGGCUUAAGGGACUUGCCUCCUCUUGAAGAUUAAGAGGUGGGUGUGAAUAUUUUCCUCUGGCCCCCUUAAUGUUCUUGAUUACAGUAAUAAAAAUGCUAAGCUCUAUUGCCUCUCGUUGGAGUAAAGGCGGCUGAAAACUCCUCAUUCCCUGAAGAACCUAAUUGUUGAUUCUACUGCAUCUAAACAGGUGU